rnacentral:rRNA from 1 species
CUGGAGGUAUCAGAAGUGCGAAUGCUGACAUAAGUAACGAUAAAGCGGGUGAAAAGCCCGCUCGCCGGAAGACCAAGGGUUCCUGUCCAACGUUAAUCGGGGCAGGGUGAGUCGACCCCUAAGGCGAGGCCGAAAGGCGUAGUCGAUGGGAAACAGGUUAAUAUUCCUGUACUUGGUGUUACUGCGAAGGGGGGACGGAGAAGGCUAUGUUGGCCGGGCGACGGUUGUCCCGGUUUAAGCGUGUAGGCUGGUUUUCCAGGCAAAUCCGGAAAAUCAAGGCUGAGGCGUGAUGACGAGGCACUACGGUGCUGAAGCAACAAAUGCCCUGCUUCCAGGAAAAGCCUCUAAGCAUCAGGUAACAUCAAAUCGUACCCCAAACCGACACAGGUGGUCAGGUAGAGAAUACCAAGGCGCUUGAGAGAACUCGGGUGAAGGAACUAGGCAAAAUGGUGCCGUAACUUCGGGAGAAGGCACGCUGAUAUGUAGGUGAAGUCCCUCGCGGAUGGAGCUGAAAUCAGUCGAAGAUACCAGCUGGCUGCAACUG